GUUGUGGACGUGUCAGGGUCUCUUCCCUCUCUUUUGUAGCCUGUCUGGUUUAUGGGGGAGUUUGGUAGGUUCUUCGUAUACUUGCUGCUGGGGGGGGGGUUUAUCUGGGUUUGGGUGUAUUUUUUUGGGGGUUGUUUGGUGGGGAUUCAGUGGGGUCUGUUGUAAGGUUUAGGUUGUAGGGUGUGGGGGGGGGGGGUUUAUCAGUUGUUUGGGGGAAUGUUUUGGGUUGUUCGGGGUGCUUUUAGGGUUGUUUGGGGGUGAUUCAAUGGGGUCUGCUGUUAGAGUUAGGUUGUAGGGUGGGGGGUUUAUCAGUUGUUUGGGGGGAUGUUUUGGGUUCGGGGUGUUUUCAGGGUUGUUUGGGGUGAUUCGGUGGGGUCUGCUGUUAGGUUUAGGUUGUAGGGUGGGGGGGGGGUUUGGUUGUUUGGGGGGCUAUUUUGGGUUGUUUG